AGACCCGAAACCCGGUGAUCUAGCCAUGGGCAGGUUGAAGGUUGGGUAACACUAACUGGAGGACCGAACCGACUAAUGUUGAAAAAUUAGCGGAUGACCUGUGGCUGGGGGUGAAAGGCCAAUCAAACCGGGAGAUAGCUGGUUCUCCCCGAAAGCUAUUUAGGUAGCGCCUCGUGAAUUCAUCUCCGGGGGUAGAGCACUGUUUCGGCUAGGGGGCCAUCCCGGCUUACCAACCCGAUGCAAACUGCGAAUACCGGAGAAUGUUAUCACGGGAGACACACGGCGGGUGCUAACGUCCGUCGUGAAGAGGGAAACAACCCAGACCGCCAGCUAAGGUCCCAAAGUCAUGGUUAAGUGGGAAACGAUGUGGGAAGGCCCAGACAGCCAGGAUGUUGGCUUAGAAGCAGCCAUCAUUUAAAGAAAGCGUAAUAGCUCACUGGUCGAGUCGGCCUGCGCGGAAGAUGUAACGGGGCUAAACCAUGCACCGAAGCUGCGGCAGCGAACGUAUCACCCAAGACAACUUUACGGAGUUGACGAUUGACGGAGCGAAGCGACGUCAAAGCGUUCAUUAAAGUCGAGUUGGCUUAGGGAUACGUUCGUUGGGUAGGGGAGCGUUCUGUAAGCCUGUGAAGGUGUGUCGUGAGGCAUGCUGGAGGUAUCAGAAGUGCGAAUGCUGACAUAAGUAACGAUAAAGCGGGUGAAAAGCCCGCUCGCCGGAAGACCAAGGGUUCCUGUCCAACGUUAAUCGGGGCAGGGUGAGUCGACCCCUAAGGCGAGGCCGAAAGGCGUAGUCGAUGGGAAACGGGUUAAUAUUCCCGUACUUGGUGUUACUGCGAAGGGGGGACGGAGAAGGCUAUGUUGGCCGGGCGACGGUUGUCCCGGUUUAAGCGUGUAGGUGUGUGUUCCAGGUAAAUCCGGUUCACUUUAACACUGAGGCGUGACGACGAGGCACUACGGUGCUGAAGCAACAAAUGCCCUGCUUCCAGGAAAAGCCUCUAAGCAUCAGGUAACACGAAAUCGUACCCCAAACCGACACAGGUG
rnacentral:rRNA from 3 species